rnacentral:tRNA from 1 species
GCCCCCAUGGCGAAAUUGGUAUACGCAGCAGACUUAAAAUCUGUAGGCCGCAAGGCCGUCCCGGUUCAAGUCCGGGUGGGGGCA